rnacentral:lncRNA from 1 species
GAUAUAGAGCUACAAAUGAAUAAGUUAAGUAAUAGAUAUGAAAUACUAUGACAGAGAGUGUGGGGCAUUUUACAUGCUGGAGAUUAGAGAAAGCUUACAAAAGGAGUCCAAUAACCUUGAAUGAUAAAAUAAUUUGGUAUGCAAAAAUGGAAGAGGCUUAUGGAACUCUGUACAGUACGGCCCCUAGAGGGGAGAGCAUGGGAGUGUUACAGAACACUGAGUACAAAUUGGCUGAAAUAGAUUAUUUGUAAAGAGAAAUAAGAAGACAAAAAGUUGAAGUUGAGAAGUUGAACAUUACAGACAAAGCGUGGAAUGUUACACUAACUGCCAGGUUUAAAAGUUUAUAUUUUAUUUUUAUUUUUAAGGAAAAUUGAGAAUACUUGAAUUUUUCAAGUGAGAAUCUUUUGACAGCACAGCAUACAGUUCGUUGAAACGGGGGCCUGUUCUGGAACAGUUGUAUGAAGGCGAUUUGAAAGAUGCGUGCUUGUUUAGUUUUGAAAUAUUUGCCUUUUACAAAUGUGUCUACAUUCUCUUUACUGAAUGUAACAGAAAAUAUAAAGGAAGCAUGGAAUUAGCCGUAGUUUUCAAAUGUAAAGAAGAGUAUUGUAAAGUCAGUGUCACUUAUUUCAAGCUGGAUGGCAAACUUCAAACCUGUAUUUUUUCAAAUACAAACUAAUAUGCAAAAGAAGGGUGUGUAGUCUGACUGAAUCCACGCAUUCUACUAAUUACCUUUUUCUAAUUAAGGUAUUGGGAAAAUGGAAAAGUAUUCAGUAUUUAAAGACUAAAAGUAAGUUUAAAAUAACUAUAACAUAUUAAGAUUCUUCAUUUUAGGAGACUGUGGAGUCUAAGGUGAUAAUAAAACCACUAUUAUUAAAUAAUAUUUUAUUUUAAUUAUUUGCCUAUUUAUUAAUUUUGAGAAAGGAAAGAUUUGAGAGGAAUUAGCAGAUGCAUGUUUCAUGAAAGCUUAGGAAUUUGUAAAGUUUGGGCAAAAGGUCAAUAAUAUAUGAUAGAUUCCAGCAACAGCAAUCUUUAUUAAAUAUGAAGCUAGAUCAUUUUUGUUUUAACAUUCCUUCCAAAACUAAAGCGAGUAUCUAGACAAGUUCGAAUCUCUGAAUUUUACUUAACUAUUCUCCAAUAUUCAAAAAGCUUAAAACAAAUGUCAUCUAUUAACUCACUAAAUGAGUGACAAAAGUAAAUAAUGGGCAUUUUUGUUGCAUUUGGAACAUAUACAAAAGUGGCUAAAUAAUUGGCAUAGGUCAGAUAAAUAUUAAUUUAUAUUGAUAAUUAUUUAUAGCUAAUGGAAAAUCUCUUCAGAAAUCUGUAACUGUUGGGA